rnacentral:rRNA from 1 species
AUGGCCAUCGCACAGACCAUCCUCACGCAGGGCCUCGCAGACGAGAUCGCGCUCGUGGACGCCGAGGCCGACAGGGUCCGCGGCGAGAUGCUGGACCUGCAGCACGCCGCGGCGUUCCUCCCACGCGUCCGCAUCGUCGCCGGCACCGACGUGCUCGCGCUCACCAGGGGCUCUGACCUGGCCAUCAUCACGGUGCCCAGGGAGACGGCGGCGGCGUCGCGGAUGGACCAGCUGAGGAGGAACGUGGCGCUGCUGAGGGAGGUCGUGCCGGCGGUGGCGGAGGGGUCCCCGGAGUCGCUGCUGCUGGUGGUGUCGAACCCGGUGGACGUGCUGGCGUACGCGGCGUGGAAGCUGUCGGGGUUCCCGUCGAGCCGCGUGAUCGGCUCCAGCACGGACCUCGACUCCGCCAGGCUGCGGUGCCUCCUGGCCGAGCACCUCGGCGUGGGCGCGCAGGACGUGCAGGCGUACAUGGUCGGCGAGCACGGAGACGGCGCGCUGGCGCUGUGGUCGAGCAUCCGCGUCGGCGGCAUGCCGGUGCUGAGCUACCUCCAGAAGACGCGGAGGGGAUCCGGCGGGCGGUGGUGGGCGGCGCGGGCGAGAUGA